CAUCUUCGCUAUUCUUUAUUGUGCGUUUGCUCUGAUAAACUGAAAAAAAGUGCAGACAAUCACUACAAUCACUGAACCUGAAGAGGGAAUAAAUGUAAGGCUUACUGCCUUCACUUACUUGUGGAUGAUGUUGUGGUCAUGACAAAUCAAUUCUGGGAGGGAUUGUGGUCUUAUAAUAGCACUGUCUGUUUCACUGGAUUGACAGCAAAGCAAGUGCUGCUGAUGACUCAUGGUUGCACUUCCCCAAGAGGGUUUAGCUUUGUAAACUCCCUGAUGUGUUUUUUUCUUCUUCUUCUUCCUUUCUAAAGCUUUCAUCAGUGGGUGAAGAUGUUGACAUAAUAGGAUUCCCCUCUCCGGUUUAAUCAGUGCGCUCAUCAUGCUAAGUCCUAAUUGGACAACUGUCAAACAGCCAGGGGCUUCACUCUACAUAAUCACAGAAGUUUUUAACUGAUGUGAGCAUUCAGUGUGACGGAGAUGUCAUGUUCGGUUCAUUUUUGCUGGAAGCAUCCCUGUGGGAAGAAGCGACUGAGGAGCUGGAACAUAAAAGGAGAGUGAGAACCACAACCCUGUGGCUCCACCUAGUGUCUCACUGCCUCUCUGCAUGCACGUCCACAUAGAUCCUUUUGCAAAGGAUUGUUACAGAGUUGCACAUCCUUAAAAAAGUCCCCGGAAACAAUGGUACAAUAUAUAAAAGCACUAGUCCCAGUGAAUCAAUUACAGUUAAUUUAUUUCAGGAUAUUUUAAUCAGGAGAUUUACUUAAGUAAAAGUAUACAAGAUAAAAACAAGCUGAAGGAAAAACCAUUUUUAAUUAUAAUAGAGUGAGAAAUAUUCACGUUAAUUACAAAUCAUUGUUAUUAAUAUUAAUUAAUUAUCUAGAAAAUUUCACCCCUGUUAUUAAAGAGCCCUCAAAGUCACAUUCUAAUAAUAUUCAUAUGAACAGAAGAUGGAUAGUGUUUAUUUUCACACCAAAUGUAAGGCAGGUUUGCCAACUCUCUCCGUGUCACAAUCUUUUGUCUUCUUACACUGCUGAAAUAAAUCUCACACUGAGUUAAAUAAAUAAAUAAAAAAAAAUAAUAUUAAUAAAUGAUUAAAGCCAGUCCAUAAUGAAUUAAUGUUUGGGUCAAAAGGCAUAUUUUAGUCUUAGCAUCAGACACAAUAGACACCAGAUAAUAAAAAAAAACUCAACUAAACUAAAAAAUUAUUUUUAAUUAAAUGUAAUUAAUUAAAUUAAAGACGCCUGAUUUGCCAGUGCUGGCACAGCCCUGCCUGCGAAAGGCUGUUUAAUGAGACUCACCAGUGACUGUAGCCUAAUCCUAGUUUGACAAAAUGUUACCCUGAGGUGUUUUUGUUGCAUCCAGCUGUUUGACUUUAUUAGAAGUCUUUAUUAACACUCACACAGUUGGGACCCCUGCUGUUCGUCUGCAAAGGAAGGCAGUUGCAGCCAUCUUUGCAUGUGAAAUACUCAAUCGAUUAUUCCCCACACAACGAAACAGCGUCAGUCAGAACCCAGCGGUGACUCAUAAUCUAAUUUCCUGCAGCAGAGACAGGUGAACCGUUGCACGCACUGUUUUUUGGCCUCAGCUUGAGUGCUAAGUCUAAUCAGAGUUUAUUCUUUAAUCAGUUUUUCUGUCAAAUUGCAAAGCAACUAUUUGUUUGCAACAGUGCAAAUGUUUUCCCAUAACUAUAGUGUGCUCUAUAAUCAUUAGUAUUUAAAUUAAAUGGUCUUUACUAGGCUUAAGGAAAAUAUAAUAUUAUAUAAUUUGUAUAAUAUAUACAAAUAUGUAAGACAAUGAAAACAAUGAAAAUACAUUUUGUUAUAAUACAGGCUGCUGUAGUUGGAUGAAUUAUAACACAUGUACAGAAUUCUUAGUGUAGCAAGUCAUUAAUUAACAAUUUCAAGAUCAACACAGGAUACUUGAGGCAUGGAUAAACUGUUGGGGGUGUUUAGUAUUAUUGUGGUGGGUGGAUUGGAUUCCACAGAGCUGUAGUACCUACAGAGGGAUAAAGCUGAUGAGCCGUACUGUGGAGAUAUGGGAAAAAUGUGACAAUUAGCGAGCAGCAGCAUGGCUUCACGCUGAGAAAGAGCACUACAGAAGAUUUGUGACAGAAGGAUAGCAGAAAGAGUGAAAGGAAAGGUUUACAAGAUGGUAGUGAUGUAUGGAUUGGAGAUGGUAACACUGACAAAAAGACAUGAGGCAAAGUCAGAGCAACCAGGAUGGUCGAGAUUAGACAGAAUAUCUCAGAGGGACAACUCAGGUUGAGAAGUCUGGACAUGCAGAGAGGCCGAAUAGCAUUGGACAAAUGGGGGAUGACAUCAUUUUUUAUGAUGUCAUCACCCAGGGAAAAUGGGUAAGUGACGCAAUGUUUUCAUUACAUCUUAAAUAAUAAUAAGCGAUGUGAAAUUCCCUUUACUGGGACAGUGAAGGGAAUUUUUGUCGUGUGGUUUCUAGUUCAUGGAACUGUUGGAUUUUCCUGAACGCCAUUUUCCUCUCAUCUGAGGGGAAUCCACACUUGACCCUGUGUGGAUUAGAGAAAAUCCAACUUGCACACCCAGUUCUUGUUUUAAACUAAUUUCCCCUGGAAAAAGAACUGUUGAAAGAAAUUAUUAAAAGCUCCAAAUUGCCACGACAUUCAUGCUCAACACGAGUGUAUGUAAACUGCUGCUUGGGAUUACUUUGGACCAAAGAAGAUGAAAUAACUUCAUUUAUUUUCAAUAAUAUUUUAUAGAUGAGGUGACAUAAUGUGUUUCUCUUCGCCUUGUCAGAGUCCUUCCAAGUGGUGGUGAGAGGAAGUGGAUUCCUUCACGCCCGAAAUGUUGACAAAGUGCUGUGCAGCUUUCGAAUCAACGACACCCUAACUAAGAGCUUUGGGAGUUUGAAUUAAAAGACUUUGAAGGAGACGACGCCAAACCUCUUCUGAAACUGGUAAGUCUAGAACACUCACAAGUAAUUUGGAGAUUUCUUUUUUUACAUAACCUCUGAACAAAACUGCACUGUAAAUGUGUUUUCUGUUUCAGGUAUGGGCAGUGAACAAUAUUAAUAAAAUAAGGGACAUAGCCCGGAUGCUCCUUAAAUUUCCAGAGGCUAUACCUCCUUAAUUUCAGUGGGUCACAUCUGACAUACAAUUAACAGUCCAGCUAAAGUCUUGAAAUAUUUCUGUGGUGCUUUAAAUAUGUUUAAAAGAUAUUUAAAUAGCCUUAUUCUACAGAACACUUAAACUCCUCAGCAUGAUGAACGAUUCCGUUUAAAUUCUUAAAGACAAGAACCAGGAAGUUCUACUUAACAACAUUGCAAACUUUGCACCAGUGCUGCUCAAGACGAUUGCUGGUGUAGCAAAGAAUCACGUAUCCAAUAUCUUUAAGCCCCCUUCAAGUCUUCCAAUGUUUGAUGUUCUUCCAAAUGAAGAACCUCCUUCAGACAGUCCUUCAACGCCCGAUGUUCCACCAGUUGAUAAACUUCCCUCUGAAAAUGUGCCAGUGUUGAAUGUUCUUCCCAGUGAGGAACUCCUUUCUGAAAGUUUGCCAGUGCCUAAUGUUCCCUGUGAGGAACUUUCUGCUGAAACUGCAUCCAUGUCUGAGACAGCUGAGACAGAGGAGUCUGAAGACCUUAAAAUCAAACAGAAGACAAAAAAAGGCUUCUUCCAAAAAUUAAAAAUUCUGUGCAGUUGCUGUGUCAGACCGAAAGAAACUGACUGACAGAGAAACUGAAAUCAAAUUAAAAAAUAUAAUUAAUUAAAAAUAAUAUUUUUUG
ensembl:lncRNA